rnacentral:rRNA from 1 species
UGCGUAGGUGGGCAGGUAAGUCAGUGGUGAAAUCUCCGGGCUUAACUCGGAAACUGCCAUUGAUACUAUCUGUCUUGAAUACCGUGGAGGUCAGCGGAAUAUGUCAUGUAGCGGUGAAAUGCUUAGAUAUGACAUAGAACACCAAUUGCGAAGGCAGCUGGCUACACGAAUAUUGACACUGAUGCACGAAAGCGUGGGGAUCAAACAGGAUUAGAUACCCUGGUAGUCCACGCCCUAAACGAUGGAUACUCGACAUACGCGAUAUACUGUGUGUCUGAGCGAAAGCAUUAAGUAUCCCACCUGGGAAGUACGAUCGCAAGAUUGAA